rnacentral:piRNA from 1 species
UGUCUUCAAGGCUACACACCGUCCCUGAGC